CUCAAGCCACCCAAACACGGUGGCAAAGACCACAGAAAGGUUUACACACAGACCCAAAUGUUCUGGUCGGGUGGGAGGCGGUUUCUUUUCUAUAUACAGUAAACUGAAACCCCACAGGCGACCGGGUUUCUCGCCUCCUGACCGGCCCAGCUUUGUUCUAGUUCUUGCUCUGCACACGCCCAGGGAGAGAGGGCACCCGAAAGCGGCGAGGGACGCGGGUUCAGAACUGUUUCUCUGUCUCCCAUCUGCAGAGGAGAGCGAGCCAAGGGCGCGAGACUGAAGGCCUCGCUGUGGCCAGAAUGGGUUUCGAGAAGGAACAAAAAGGUCGGCCACGACGAAACGCGGCCAGCCGACGCCCGAGCCCUCGCCCGAAAAGCUUGUGCUCUCUGUCUCUAAAAAAGAAGAACGAGAAGAAGAAGAAAUAUGUGAAAUUAGGAUAUAAUCCUGAGGGGUGAGAAUGUGGAAUGGACUUAUACGUGUGAAGAGAAAAAUAAAUCAGGUUCAUCAGGAUGCAACACCAUCAUAAAUCCAGGGCGACCUGGACUCAGGUUAUGCAGAGAAGGAGUUCUGUCUCCCAGGAGGUGACACAUAAGUGGUGCCUCAGUUUCCAGCCUUUGGACUCAAGGUGCAACACCAACUCUUGCCUGAGUUUCCAGCCCUGCAGAUUUCAGACCUGGAGCCCCACAACCACACCAGCCAACUCCCUAAAAUAAAUGCACCUGCCCUCACUCUCUAUCCAACCCACCGGCCCCCUUCUCUAGAGAACCCUACUACAACCUUCCUUAAAGGAGUGCUGCCCUAGAGUUGGGAAUUCAUAUUUGCAUUUUUAAAACAUUUUGACCACCUGGGAAGAGAGGGUCCCAAAACAGCAGUAAGUGAAAUAAUGGUCAGCAACGAUUUUAUAAUAAAAUACAAGAACAUA